rnacentral:lncRNA from 1 species
AUUUUAUUUUAUUUUAGAUUGAGUCUCACUCUGCCACCCAGACAGGAGUGCAGUGGUGCAAUGUCAGCUCGGUGCAACCUCUGCUUCCUGGGUUCAAGUGAUUCUUAUGCCUCAGCCUCCUGAGUAGCUGGGAUUAUAGGCACCUGCCAUCAUGCCUGGCUAAUUUUUGUAUUUUCAGUAAAGAUGGGGUUUCACCAUUCUGGCCAGGCUUGUUUUGAACUCCUGACCUCAAGUGAUCCACCUGCCUUGGCCUCCCAAAGUGCUGGGAUUACAGGCAUGAGCCACUGCAUCAGGCCUGGAUCAGCAUUUUAAAGAUGGCGUCACAAUGGCAAAGAAACCAGUCAGUGCUUUGUGAUCCUCCGCCCAGUACAGGCACAGCAGGGCAUCCAGAGAAGAUAGGAGUCCCAAGUUGACACCUGCCACAUUCUUGGCUCAGAACAGCUGUGGCUGGGAAGGUCCAUGGGCCAGGGAGCGGGUGAUGAAGGACUUCAGCAUCUUUAUCAGCGCCCCCCCACACAGACGGCAGCUGCGGCCUAGCCCCCAGGCUUCACUUGGCGUGGACAACUUGCUAAGUAAAGUGGGGGGUGGGCCACGGCUGGCUCCUACCUGGACAGGCCUCCAGCUAACUCCGGGCUUGCACAGCAAAUACAAGAAAAAAAGAAACAGAAAAAUCAGUUCAUGUGCCCUUUCCUGACUUCUCCUGGCACCUACAGCCCUGACUGCAGAGAUGGUCCCGUGGUCCCAAGACAGAGGCUGGAGAAAUGAAGAACAUGAGUCUUAGAGAAGUCAAAGAAGUUGCCUAAGGUCACAUGAGCAGUGAGCAGAGGAGUUGCUUACCUUUGUUAGACUCCAAAUCCUGUGUGACUAUGAAACUCAUUAACUGAAACAACCCGGCACCUUUGGACCUGUGCAGGCAAAGGCAAGGGAGUUGACCAGGAGCACACAGCACAGACGAGAACAGUCCCAAAGCCUUUUGCUGUAUCCCAUCUGUGCAAACCACUCCCAAUAAACAAACAAACACA